CCUACCCCUCUCUCUCUCCUAACCCCCUCUCUCCCUACCUCUCUCUCUCUACCUCUCUCUCUCCUUCUCUACCUCUCUCUCUCUACUUCUCUCUCUCUCUCUCUACCCCCUCUCUCUCUACUUCUCUCUCUCCUUCUCUACCUCUCUCUCUCUCUCAUUGGGAAGAACAUAUGCCCUGUUCAAAUGUUACAGAAUCUUGGUUUGUACUACAACAAAGAACGUAAUUAUGCCAUGAAAAAGCCAGUGCUAGACGAAAUUAAAGAAGAGGGGCAAAUGAAAGACGCAUAAUUCGAUGUCAGUAUGAUUGAAAAAGCGCCCACCCGUUGCUCUUCCGAAGUCUAAUGAAAUUAAGCCUCAUAUCAAUCUGAAACCGUACGUUGUGUUCACAAUGCGCAAAUCAUAUACCAGUCUUUUCAAGAUGUACAAUUCAGUCGUCGUAAGCGUGAGCUACUGGAAUAUAUUAUGGGAGUAUAGGUUUGCUUCCGAAGGAACUCCAGGUGGCUUUCCAUGAGGAAGAGAAAUGAAUAGUGCAGGUGAACAUUUCACGGCUGAGGUGGAAUUGCGUAACUAAAGCAAAGCCGUUUUUUGCACCGGAAUAUCAUACUACGUAUUGAAUCGCGUGUUUCUGUACUAUUCCUUAAUCGAUUGGAUUUAAGACAUCAGGACGAUUUUAUGCAUUUUAAAGUGAGAGCCCUGAAUUGGGCUGUUGGGAAUUACCAAAUCAUAUUCACGACAAUGCGUGUCCUCGUUUGCACUGGCUGUCUUGUAAAGAGAUACCUGUAGAUAGAACCUAUUACGAUUAUAGAGUGGUCAAGCUGUUCUUGUGAUCACCAAACAGCAAUGCAUACGACACUACUAUUUUGUAAUGUGUUUUCCUCCAUCCAGGAUAUCCUCAGAAGCGCACACAUGAAAUCCAGAUGACGAUGAAAGAGGAUUGGCAAUGGGAACUCUUCGUCCAUUUUAUGAAACGAACAUAUCUGUUUAUAUGGUGCUCAUAAUUUGAAACAAGCUCUCUUUGUUUUAAAUUUUACAUGUAGCUUUUGACGAUAGGAUUAUAUUGUUUUGGGAACGUU